UAAGAAUGCAGAUCUGAUCAUGCUUUCCCUCU
rnacentral:piRNA from 1 species